ACUAUUUGGCCCGGUAAACAACUUGGCCCGGUAGAGAAAUAAUAAACCUGCAUUUUGUAAUUUGAUAAAUAAAUGAUUCAAAUAGGCCUAUUUAUUUUUAAAAACAGUUGAAAUUUGCACGCCGUGUACGCAGAGAGCGGGAGAUUAAAGAGGGAAACAAAGCAGUCAGUCCGUCUCAAAUGGUCAAAUCAUAGGUGGGUUCGCUGACAACAUCACGAAAACGAUGCGGACGCUUCAGUGGGGCAGAAAUCGCGGGCAGGGUCGGGACAUUCUGUCAGACCCCAGUAUGACUAGCUGUCGCCAUCCAAGAUGGCCCCAGGAAGACUAGCUGUGGCCAUCCAAGACGGCCCCAGGAAGACUAGCUGUGGCCAUCCAAGAUGGCCCCAGGAAGACAAGCUGUCACCAUCCAAGAUGGCCCCAGGAAGACAAGCUGUUGCCAUCGGCGUCGGCUAAUGAGGAUCCUAAUAAAUCAAAGCAAAUCUAACACACGACUGGGUCUCUAGGUCAAAAGCAAUUGUCAUUGUCGAUGGUGCUGAAACUGGUCAUCAAGGCAAGGUUCCACUAUCACGUCUUUUUUCAUUUGUUCCAUUGUAGGCUACCAGACAUACCAAAUUAAGAGCAGCACCUUUGAAGGAAUUUGACCCAGGUCGGCAUCACUAGGCCUACACUACAGUCAGAGAUGUAGUUCUGAAUGAGCUCACCUGGUGAUAGGAAUAUGCUUCGUGUCCACACUUCAUAGUCAUUCCCUUUGAUUGGUUUAACUGUUCGUUAUAAGUAAAUCUAAUACAUUACUUUGGUUUGAACUGGCUGAAUUUGUAAACAAGUGUCUAGCAAUAGAGGGUGCUAUAUGACAUCUACUUGUCAAACUGGAUUAGAAAAGACUUGAUUCCCACAAAACACGUAUUAUUUAAUUGGCAGAAGGAAGAACAUUUGUAUAGUUUUUUUUAUUGAUGAUUAAAUGAUUGAUUAAAAUGAAGUCACAUAUUGUAGAUAUCUUAAGGGCACAGACUGUAGACAUUCUCACACUAGUGUUAGCAUAUCCCCCAAACUCAGUCCUGGGGAACCCAAGGAGUGCACAUUUUGGCCCAGCACUACACAGCGGAUUCAAAUAGUCAAGGCUUGCUGUGAAGCUGAUUCAUUUGAUUAAGCUGUGUAGUGCCAGGACAAAACCCCAAAAUGUGCACACCUUGGGGUCCCCCAAGAUAGAGUUUGGGGAAACGCUGCACUACAUAGAACAGUGAAUUAUUAAAGCUAGUUACCAGAAGUGCUGCUUGACAAGUUCAGUUUCAGCCACUCAAACAUUCAGUAGGCUACAGGGCUGUGUUAAGUAGGGCAAAACGUAGCAAAACAUACAUUUUAAAAACGAAAACUAAACUUGGAAGUGUUUCUCUAGUAAGCUACCUCCUA